AACCAGAAAGAAAGAAAGAGAGAGAGAGAGAGAGAGAGAGAGAGAGAAAGAAAGAAAGAGAGAAAGAAAAAGAAAGAAGGAAAGAAAGAAAUGGAGAUCCGUCCAAACCGUUGACAUUUUGGAGAAACCUCAAGGUACUUGACGGUUUGAGUUGACGAGCGUUCGGAAUAUUGAUAUAUUCGACUUUUUAGAAGACGCAGCUGGAUUAGAGCAUGUACUAGAGAAACUUGAAGAGGGUCUACAUUGAAGGAUUUUAUAAAAACUGGUUGCAGCUCCUACAUUUUGAUGGUUAGUCCCCCAACAAUUUGUUCAAGUCAGAUUUGAUGCCACGUUCAAGGUCCUGUCUCCCUUUCUUUAUUUACAUUUCAGUUGGGUUUGUGGGAUUCAUUUUAUUGAGUAGAGAAAAAAAAGCAUGUUCAUGAAUUUUUUGGAUCUGUGAAAAUUUUCCUUUUUUUUUUUUUGGUGUGAAUUUAUUUCACUGACUUUCGUUUCGAUUUUGAAUAUGGAGGAGUUUAGAGAGAAGUACAAGAAGGAACAUCCCAUCAACAAAUCGGUCACCAUUGUAAGUGAAUCUCAUUUCCCAGAUCUACAUGCUCAAUUCUCUCAACUACUCCUUACUGUGAUUUUUUUGGUCAAAUUUUGAAUGAUUUUAAUUGCUAUAUAUUUUCUUUUAUGGUAUUGAUCAGGCUGGUAAAACUGGUGGUGGGUUUUUAGGCUUUUCCUUUUGUUAAUAAUUUGUUAAUUGCAGGAAUAUUCUCCAAUAGUUUUUUGAUUGUCGCUUUUUGGAUAAAAAUUAUAAAGGAGAGAGCGCCCUACCAGGCCAAGGCAGAGAAGAGGAAGGCUGAAUACACUUCUAGAAAAUACCCAUUUAGUUACGAAUUUAUAGGUGACAAACUUCAAAUAUGUCACCUAUAGUGGAAAAUGGUCACAAACUUUUUAAGUUCGUCACCAAUGAUCUUGUCUUUUAGACAAAUGUUAUUGCUCCUAUGUUUGUUACGGAGAAUAUACCAUUAGGCCAUGUUUGUUUCCCGGAAAGUGGGCAUUGGGAAAGAAAAUAUUCCUUUCCUUUCCACCAACGAAACAUGGCCCUAGUGUCAAAAUUUUCUGCUGAAGGCUGAGUUCGGAUUAAGUACUCUCUCCUCUCUCCUCUCUUACCAAACCUUGUCUCUACCGCCACUCUGAGUCUCCUACAGGCCCCAAAACCUAGAACCUAAACAAUCUUCGUCUCUCGAUCUCAAACCCAAGGUAGUAUCUUUACAUUUGAAACCCAUAAAACCUUUCAGUUUCGAUCUUGUUUACUCUCUCACUUUCACCCUCUCAAUUUCGCCCCACUCUUCUUCUCGUCACCGCAAAACAUUGAGAAUCUCGGCUACUAUCUCGUCUCUAACCUCGAAUUACGGACCGAGCACCAUGAGCUCGCUGCUUGUAGUCUUUCCAAGGUAUUGACCCUCUUCAAUCGUUCCGCUCAAUUUUCAGUUUUGGGUUCUAAUUGGAUUCCAGUUUCUAUGGUUGCCAAUUUGGAAAAUUACUGCUAAAGAUCGAGCACCAUAUGUUCGCUGCAAUCAAUCGCUCCUGAAAUGAAGGCCGACGGCGCAGCGCCGUUGCUGGUUCUUCUUCGUUGGCCACUAAACCGAAGAAGAGAAAGAAGAAGAACCUGUUCGAGGUGGCACAGUAUCUGCCCAAUUGGGGACUUGGGUACCACAGGGCUAAGAGCCACUGGUUCGGCGUCUCGUAUCAGAUCACCAAAAUCAAUCUUUGCAAGGUUUGUUUAUUGCUGGGUUUUGAGAAAUGAUAGGGAUCUGAGAUUGGUUUGGUUUUAAAUUUGAUUGCUUGUCUGUAAUGUGGGAGUGGAGUUUGCUUUGCGUUUUCUUGAUUGUUUAAGGGCUUAGGGUUUGUUCUGGUUUUUUAAUUUUGACGAGAGUCGUUCAUAAGGAAGGUAGAUUUUACAUUUCACGGAAUUGGCCUUUUUCUGCGCUCGAUUUAGUUUUAUUUGUAUCAGUAGUAGUCAGCUUUGUUACAUUAUUAGAUGGGAUUGGUUUCGAUACUUAUCUCGUAUAAGAGUUUCUAGGGUGAAGAAGUGACUCAAGGAAAUUAUAAUUAUCUAUCAGUUGGUUAGUUUUGCUAGUCGAAGUACCAGGGUAUACUCAAUUAGGCUUACUAUUACUAUGGUCAAUGUUUGUUUUCUAAUGGGUUGUUCAUUUCAUACUGAAAGUGUUCCAAGAUGACUAAACCAACUGAAACUGCUCCAGCAAAUUGGUUCUCUUAAUUGAAAGUAAGUUAUUUUUUUUAUAUGGCCCGUUGAAAAUAUAAUGUAUGACUUGCACUCUCAAAUUAUAAGAGCUAUUACUUUGUUUCUAAGUAAGCAGGUCAUAGAUAUUGAUAGUGAAUCAUAAACUUUAGUUUAAAUUAUUCAGUUGGGCCGCAUAUAGUUCUGUUGGGAGAUUUUGUCUUUUCAUGGAUAUUUUAGCUACAAGAAGGUUUUGUGAAAUCUUCUUCUAAUAUAAGAUCUGCACAGGAAGCUGGAAACAAUGAAAAUGGACGAGAUGCUGCUUAUAUCUUUUAUUACAUGAUCAUUUUUGUUAAAUAUAACUGGAGCAUAGCACUACUAAAAGUUGAGAUGCUGCAUUGCUUGUUUCAAAGGUAAAAGCUUACCCUGUUGUCUGAUAUCUAUUUUGGUUGCUAAAACUGGAGCUCUCUCUGCCAAGGACACUUACCACUUGAUUGGGGAAGACCAUGGCAGGUACUAUCACCUUCCUAACAAAUGUUCAUGCAUUUGUAUUUAUCCAAUUCUUUUUCUCAACAGAUUUUCUGCCAAAGACGAUUAACUGGUCUCUUAUGAUGUCUUUGUUCAUAUGCCUCUCAAUUUAGGAAGACCAAGUUCUCAAGUUAACUUUGCCAAGACUGCAAAUACGAUGGCUCUUUUGGCAGAGGAACAAUGCUUCAAGUCGAAGGAGAAGCUGAAAAUUAGUUGUUUAGGACAUGUAACUUUCAUCAACUUCUUAUAGCAGUUGUCAAACUUUUGGGCUACAAUGUAUUUCUGCAAAGUCAAGACCCUAAGACACCAUCCUCGUCGUGAUGAGGAUGGUAAUAAUUGAUGAAAAUGAAGCAAGGGAAGGGUAGAAAUGAUUAGAAUGUGUAUUAGGAGUAUCACAUUUUGGAUGUAAAUUAAUGUUCGUAACUUGGAACAUAUUUUAUCUAUAAAUACUCUCAGUUUGUACUUUGAAAUGCAAUAUAUGAUAGCUCAAUUGAAAUA